UACUGUUAGAAGAGUGCACCGUAGAAACACAUUCUCAAGGUGACUCUUGGACCUGUGAACUCCUCCUGGGGUCAGGCUGACUCCUCACAGAUAAGACUUGUAACUAACUGAGUAAUGUGCUCUCACACAUAGCUCUGGACCAUCCCAAGGUGCAAGACUAAUUCUAGGUAAUUGUGACACUGAGCAAUCGUCACUUCUGUUUUGUUGCCACGUUACCAUGUCCCUUACUUGCUGGCUCCAGAAAGUUUCCUUGGGAGCCAGCAGACAUUGUUAAGCCAGGGCACCGUGUUUCUCUCUCAUACUGUAUGGCUUAACCCCACCACCUUUCCUCCAGCACAGAUGGCUUUGGCAGCUUGGUUUUGUGUCUGUGCAGACAUAUGCACACGUUCACACGUGUGCUUCUGCUCAGAGCCUAAGCUGCCAAUUGGCCAAGAGUUACAACUCCAGCACAGUAAACAAGUGAUCAGUGAGUCUGGGAAGGGCUCAGCACACCAGACACUUGGAAAAUAGAGGCAAAUAAAGCAGGAAGAUCAACAGACAUAAGCUAGUCAGCACAAGACUUCCAACUUGAUAAAACUACAGUCACGAAGAAUGAAGAUCUUGGACGACUCCAAGGUUAAACUCACCAUACUCAGUAGAACUUUUGCAAUGAAGAAUCAAUGUUACUGUUUCCCCCUAUGAAUAGGCUUCUAAUAUUGCACAUAAUUAAAGCACCAUUUGCCUAAGAAAACAACUAUGUUCAU